CCCUUAGAUGUUCUGGGCCGCACGCGCGCUACACUGAUGCAUUCAACGAGUCUAAAACCUGCUCUGAUAGGGGUGGGUAAUCUUUUGAAUGUGCACCGUGAUUGGGAUAGAUGAUUGCAAUUUUUCAUCUUCAACGAGGAAUGCCUAGUAAACGCAAGCCAUCAGCUUGCAUUGAUUACGUCCCUGCCCUUUGUACACACCGCCCGUCGCUCCUACCGAUUGAAUGAUCCGAUGAAUAUCAUGGAUUGAGGAUUAUAGCAGGUUCGCCUGUCUUGAUCUUCGAGAAGUGAAGUAAAUCCUAUCAUUUAGAGGAAGGAGAAGUCGUAACA
rnacentral:rRNA from 1 species